rnacentral:rRNA from 1 species
AUCUCCUGCCAUGCCACACUGAACACACCCCAUCUGGUAAGCUAAGCACAGUGGGGCCUGGUUAGUUCUUGGAUGGGAGAAUCAUCCCAGCAUGUGAGCAACAUGUGAUA